UUGUCCGGAUUUAUUGGGCGUAAAGAGCGUGUAGGCGGCCGUACAGGUCAGCUGUGAAAACUCGAGGCUCAACCUCGAGACGUCGGUUGAAACCGUACGGCUAGAGUCCGGAAGAGGAGAGUGGAAUUCCCGGUGUAGCGGUGAAAUGCGCAGAUAUCGGGAAGAACACCCGUGGCGAAGGCGGCUCUCUGGGACGGUACUGACGCUGAGACGCGAAAGCGUGGGGAGCGAACAGG
rnacentral:rRNA from 1 species